AUGGCGGUCUCCUCGCCUUCUUCUGCACCGGAGAAGAAGAGGAAGUGGCUCCUCAGCAACAGGAAGCCGGUCAGUUCUUGCCACGCCAAUGGAUCGUCUGUGCAACAACUGUUUGCUUUUUCUUCUGUACCGCACAAUGCCAAGAACAUUUGGUCCUUUGACUCCACAAGCAGGGUCGUUUGGUCGUGCCGUCCAAAUUCCAAAUCACAGGACAGCUUCUUUGAGCUGAGAACCAUUUGCUUCUUUCGAGCAUGGCGUGCCUUUUCUUCAUGCUUUUUUUCCUCCAAGAUCGGGCUGCUUGAUCUCAGCGCACCGUCUGCUAUGCUCUGCUCCGCUCUCGCUUUUCUUUCUUGUUUUGUCCCCCCAAAAAUCCAUCCAUUUUUGCUGUCUCGAAUUGGUCCAUCUAUUUCUCUGUUUGUGCAAGAAUCCAACCUCGUCUGGCAAAAAUCUCAUGCUUGUUUCGCUAUGUAUGCGCAGGUGAUCGACAGGUACCUUCGGGAGGCGCGGGCGAUUCUCGCGGCGGCGCCGGAAUCCGGCGGCGGGGACGCUGUGGCGGCGCUCGGUCUCAUCGACGCCGCGCUGGAGCUGUCGCCGCGGAUGGAGGCCGCGCUGGAGCUGCGGGCGCGGGCGCUCCUCGCGCUGCGGCGUUACCGCGAGGUCGCGGAGAUGCUCCGUGACUACAUCCCCAGCUGCGGCAAAUCCUGCUCCGGCGAGGACGCCUCCUCCUCCUCCUCCUUGUCCUCCUCCAGCUCCGGUGACCUUGGCACGAUCUCCCGUGCCAAGCUCCUCUCCCCCGAGCGCCACCGCUCCGACGCGGCCGAGACUGACAGGGGGACCGCUCGCUCCUUCCGUUGCUUCGAUGUCUCCGAGCUUAAGCGCCGCGUCCUGGCCGGCCUCUCUAAGAACCCCAACACGGACACGCAGUGGAGGUACCUGGUCCUGGGCGAAGCUUGCUUUCACCUGGGCCUCAUCGAAGAUGCCAUGGUUCUUCUCCAGACCGGCCGCCGCCUCGCCUCGGCGGCUUUCCGCCGCGAGAGCGUUUGUUGGUCGGAGGACAGCUUCUCAUCAUCGACUGUCGCCGCAGCUGUUGCCUCGGUGCCGUCGGGCAACGCUUCCAAGUCCGGGUCGGCGUUCAUCAUACCGGCCGUGGAGUCGGAGGCCAUGUCCCAGCUCCUGGCUCACGUGAAGCUCCUGCUCCGCCGCCGCACGGCCGCCAUGGCGGCCCUCGACGCGGGCCUCCCAGCGGAGGCCGUCCGCCAUUUCUCCAAGAUACUCGAGGCACGCCGUGGCGUGCUCCCGCACACCUUCGCCGCCGCGUGCCUCGUCGGCCGCGCCGCGUCAUUCCAGGCUGGCGGCCGCCCGGCAGACGCCAUAGCGGAUUGCAACCGUGCGCUGGCUCUCGACCCCGCGUACAUCCCGGCGCUCCGCGCCCGUGCCGAUCUCCUUCAGUCCGUGGGGGCACUCUCCGAUUCCCUUCGUGACCUUGACCACCUCAAACUUCUGUACGACGCGGCGCUCCGUGACGGCAAGCUGCCUGGGCCUAGGUGGCGACCGCAGGGUGGCGUGCGCUACCGCGAGAUCGCCGGCGCGCACCGCAAGCUGAUCGCCCGGAUUCAGGGACUGCGCAGCCGCGCCGCCGUCGGCGAGGGGUGCAACAUCGAUUACUACGCUCUGCUGGGCGUGCGGCGCGGGUGCACGCGCUCUGAGCUGGAGCGCGCGCACCUGCUGCUCUCGCUGAAGCUCAAGCCGGACCGCGCCGUGGUGUUCGGUGAGCGGCUGGAGCUGGUGGACGAGCACCGCGACCUGGAGGCGGUGCGCGACCAGGCCCGCAUGUCCGCUCUGCUCCUGUACAGGAUGCUGCAGAAGGGGUACUCGUUCAUCAUGUCGGCCGUGAUCGACGAGGAGGCCGCCGCUAGGCAGAGGGCGAAAGAGGCCGCGGCGUUGCCCAAGCAGCAACAACACGCGGCGCCGAUACCGGAGAAUCCUCCCGCCGUUAACAGCUCCACCGCGAGGACGACGGCGAAACCGAAGGCGAAGGCUGGCGCGACCGUUGCAACGGUGUCGUCCCAGGCGACGGCGCCGGUGUACCAAGGGGUGUUCUGCCGCGACCUGGCGGUGGUGGGCACGCUGCUGUCCCGCAGCGGGUUCGACCGCUCCCUCCCGGUGAAAUGCGAGGCGAUGAGCUGCUGA
rnacentral:rRNA from 1 species